rnacentral:lncRNA from 1 species
CAACUCCUACAGCUUCUCUAAUAUAUUUAUUUCUUAAAUCUAGCAGGUGGCAUUAAAUGAAAACUUCUAUAUCCUAUUUUACUAUUUAUCAGUAGUUGUAAUAUUUUGAGAUUUUUAUUAUAACUGUUUCAGAACCUAGGCACCAUCAUAUUUGUAACCUAACAUGAAAAUAAAAGAUUAGGUCGUACAUUUGUCACUUUUUCUUUUAUUUAUCACCUGUAAUGAUAAUUUCUAUUUGAUUCUCAUUUUAUUUACUUAGAUCUAAACAACCAGGUCCAGAUUCAUUCUAGAUCAGAAUAAAAUCUUGAUUUAUCUAAACACAUGCCUGUGUCUGCAGCCACAUGGACUAUAUGAUAUAACCACAGUGUAGUUGACCAGUAAUGAAUUCAUAUUUGAAUCUGCAAUCUUAAAAGAUCUGGAUUCAGAUUGUAUGGCUUUUGUGCUUCCUUACUUUUAUAAUCAGUGAAAUUAUUGAUAAUCCACAAAAAACUAUUCUGGAGUGUGAAAAAUUUAUCCAUAGAUUUGUGCAUACAUGUUGGGAGUAGCCUUUGUAUUUAUGUUACAUCCUUUAGUUCAUUUUUGACAAAUCUUGAAAUUUCUAUAACAAGUUAUUUUUGCACUAUGCAUUAGGCUUCUGCUCUGGACCUGCACAUUGAAAAUGGAAAAGUUCGUCGUAUUCCUCAUCCCGUAACCACCCCACUGGCAGUUAGGGCUCGUUUGGUUCGCGGGAAGUAUUUUCCCUCCUAGGAAUAUGAUUCCUGGGAAUCAGAUUCCUAGGAAGAGGAUACCUAGG